CUUGAGGCGUGGCUUCCGGAGCUAACGCGUUAAGUCGACCGCCUGGGGAGUACGGCCGCAAGGUUAAAACUCAAAUGAAUUGACGGGGGCCCGCACAAGCGGUGGAGCAUGUGGUUUAAUUCGAUGCAACGCGAAGAACCUUACCUGGUCUUGACAUCCACGGAAGUUUUCAGAGAUGAGAAUGUGCCUUCGGGAACCGUGAGACAGGUGCUGCAUGGCUGUCGUCAGCUCGUGUUGUGAAAUGUUGGGUUAAGUCCCGCAACGAGCGCAACCCUUAUCCUUUGUUGCCAGCGGUCCGGCCGGGAACUCAAAGGAGACUGCCAGUGAUAAACUGGAGGAAGGUGGGGAUGACGUCAAGUCAUCAUGGCCCUUACGACCAGGGCUACACACGUGCUACAAUGGCGCAUACAAAGAGAAGCGACCUCGCGAGAGCAAGCGGACCUCAUAAAGUGCGUCGUAGUCCGGAUUGGAGUCUGCAACUCGACUCCAUGAAGUCGGAAUCGCUAGUAAUCGUGGAUCAGAAUGCCACGGUGAAUACGUUCCCGGGCCUUGUACACACCGCCCGUCACACCAUGGGAGUGGGUUGCAAAAGAAGUAGGUAGCUUAACCUUCGGGAGGGCGCUUACCACUUUGUGAUUCAUGACUGGGGUGAAGUCGUAACAAGGUAACCGUAGGGGAACCUGCGGUUGGAUCAC
rnacentral:rRNA from 1 species